rnacentral:rRNA from 1 species
GACGAACGCUGGCGGCGUGCUUAACACAUGCAAGUCGAACGGAAAGGCCCUGCUUUUGUGGGGUGCGCGAGUGGCGAACGGGUGAGUAACACGUGAGUAACCUGCCCUUGACUUUGGGAUAACUUCAGGAAACUGGGGCUAAUACCGGAUAGGAGCUCCUGCUGCAUGGUGGGGGUUGGAAAGUUUCGGCGGUUGGGGAUGGACUCGCGGCUUAUCAGCUUGUUGGUGGGGUAGUGGCUUACCAAGGCUUUGACGGGUAGCCGGCCUGAGAGGGUGACCGGCCACAUUGGGACUGAGAUACGGCCAAGCCUCCUACGGGAGGCAGCGGUGGGGAAUAUUGACCAAUGGGCGGAAGCCUGUUGCAGCAACGCCGCGUGCGGGAUGACGGCCUUCGGGUUGUAAACCGCUUUCGCAUGUAACGAGGCGUGAGUGACGGUAAUGGGUAAAGAAGCACCGGCUAACUACGUG